CCAACGUAAACGAGCGUUGGAAGGUAACAAGUCUACAAUUGGUUAAUAAGCUCGAUCGCUUGUGCUCCGAUCAAAUCCCAUGAAUCGCGAAAUAGUGCGAUUGGUGGCCAAAGGAUUUUACGUUGAAGCAUUCUCCAUGUACUCGCAGCACCACUCAGCCUCCCUUAGUUCUUACAAUUUCAUUUUUCCUCCUCUCUUCAAAGCGUGCGCAAAGCUUAACUCGGUUCCACAAGGCCAAAUGCUGCAUACCCACUUGAUGAAAGUGGGGUUUUCAGCAGACGUCUAUGCAGCAACAGCCCUCACGGAUAUGUAUUUGAAGCUUUUUCAUGUUGAUGACGCUCUGAAAGUGUUCGACGAAAUGCCCCACAGAAACACGGCGUCUUUAAACGCAAUGAUUUCUGGGUUUCUGUUGAAUGGUUUUCGUGGAGAAGCGUUACGGAUGGUUGAGCUUGUGAAUCGCGGUUCAUUAAAGCCCAAUUCAAUUACCAUUGUUAACUUGCUGUCAGCAUGCGCAAGUGUUGCUCAUGGGAUGCAAGUACAUUGUUGGGCUAUCAACCUGGGUUUUCAAAUGGACGUAUAUGUUGCUACGGCGCUUUUGACGAUGUAUUGUACUUGUGAAAAAAUGGGUUUCGCUGCAAAGGUAUUCCAAGAGAUGUCGAACAAAAACGUGGUGAGUUUUAAUGCUUAUAUUUCAGGGCUUCUACUGAAUGGCAUGCCCCCUAUGGUAAUUGAUGUAUUUAAGAGCAUGAUGGAAUGCCCACCUGGGAAAUCGAAUUCCGUCACACUGGUUUCUGUCCUUUCUGCUUGUUCUAGUCUUUCACAUCUUGGAUUUGGUAGGCAGGUUCAUGCACUCACUGUUAAAAUUGAUAAUGAUGAUGUAAUGGUUGGAACUGCACUGGUGGACAUGUAUUCUAAAUGUGGGGCUUGGCAGUGUGCACACAAGGUAUUCAACGAGCGGAAAGGAACCAGUAACUUAUUUACUUGGAAUUCAUUGAUUGCAGGAAUGAUGUUAAAUGAACAGAGUGAAAUUGCAGUGGAACUUUUUGAAUCGUUGGAGUCCCAUAAAUUGCAGCCAGAUUCAGCUACCUGGAACUCAAUGAUAAGUGGACAUGCCCGUUUGGGUCAGCCGGUGAAGGCCUUUAAGUACUUUCAUAGAAUGCAAUCGGCUGGCACAGUCCCUAGUUUAAAAUCUCUCACUAGUCUUUUAUUCGUUUGUUCAGACUUGUCUGCAUUGCGACAUGGCAAAGAGAUCCAUGCCCAAGUAACUAAAAGCUUCACUCAUAUGGACGUGUUGCUUGCCACGGCACUUAUUGACAUGUACAUGAAAUGUGGAUGUCUUUCUUCAGCACAGAGACUCUUCGAUCAAUUUGGCUUCAAACCAAAAGAUACAAUAUUUUGGAACGCAAUGAUCUCAGGUUACGGGAACAAUGGGGAGAACAAAUCUGCGUUUGAUAUAUUUGAUCGGAUGCUGGAAGAAGGAGUACAUCCAAAUGCGGCCACAUUUACCAGUCUCUUGUCUAUUUGCAGUCAUUGUGGUCAGGUUGACAAAGGUUGGCAGUUUCUCAAGAUGAUGAACAAGAAAUACGACCUGCAGCCAGAUCGUGAUCAUUAUAACUGCAUGAUAGAUAUUUUGGGUAGAGCCGGCCAGUUGGGGAAAGCUCGAAAAUUGUUGGAAGAAUUGCCAGAGCCUUCUAUGUCUUCUCUUGCUUCUUUGCUUGGUGCUUGUAGCUUGCACAAAGAUUCUAAACUGGGCGAAGAAAUGGCUUCAAGAAUUUCAGAAUUAGAGCCUAAGAAUCCACUUCCAUUUAUUAUCUUAUCCAAUAUAUAUGCUGAGCUUGGAAGGUGGAAAGAUGUUGAAAGGGUUAGAGAAAUGAUGAAUGACAAAGGAUUGAGAAAGCCAUCUGGCCUUAGUUCAAUAGAAUGACCUAAGAAGAAUCCAAAGUUGUUGAUUAUGUAGUUGGGUGGUUCAAAAAUGAAGCACGAGAUCACGUCCCUUAGGGUGAUGACCCCUACAACUUCGUCAUCAGCAGCUACGACAUAGAUCCUGUGGACUGACUUGGAAGCAAGACUAUGAAUAACAGAGCCGAGAGUCGAAUCGAGUUUGCAUAUGAUUGGCGGGGCUAGUUUCCCAACAUCUUGGAUCAACAUAACUACUGUCUUGAUGAAAUCCAUAACAGUCUUGCAGCUAUACAGUCAAACCAGUCCCUUCCUCUACACCUUUCAAGACCCUGAACCACUGCAGAUUGAGUUAUGUAAUUCUUGAUGUCGGGUUUCCCUGGUUCGAUGACAGGGUCACUGGAAGAAAUGGAGCCCAGCGGUAGGAUUUCAAUAUCGACUGAACCUGGAACACAUGAGUACAUGAUACCAAGGCUUGAAAAUGAGUACAUAUGAUAUGAGUAAGACUUUGUAAAAAUCUUGUCCUAAACUAUCAGCCGCUGUGGCAGCAUCUUUACCGAUUCCUCUGUCAACAGCAACUCCACCAGCCACAGCAGCUCCAACCGCCGCUGCAGCUAUCCCUGCAACUGCAAUGGGGCCUGUCGCGCCUAAUGCCAAUGCUCCAAGAGCACCAACUGCUCCUGCACCAACUCCAAUAGCAGUAGCUGAACCAGCAGAUAAAGAAGCUGCAGCAAGUUCCGCACUCUCCAUCACCCACAAGAUAAUCGCCGAAUAAUCCACAAUUCCAAGGAAAUGAGGAAACUGGGAUCCUGGCAAAUGCAUCAUUCAGCGUCUCCUGUAAGAACUUUGGAAGUUUCUUCGUAGAUUGGAUGCGUUC